rnacentral:rRNA from 1 species
UACAGAGGUCCCAAGCGUUGUUCGGAUUCACUGGGCGUAAAGGGUGCGUAGGUGGCCGGUUAAGUCUGACGUGAAAUCUCCGAGCCUAACUCGGAAACUGCGUCGGAAACUAUCCGGCUCGAGGGUUGGAGGGGGGACUGGAAUACUUGGUGUAGCAGUGAAAUGCGUAGAUAUCAAGUGAAACACCAGUGGCGAAGGCGAGUCCCUGGACAACUCCUGACACUGAGGCACGAAAGCUAGGGGAGCAAACAGG